GACGUAGGGGGCGAGCGUUGUCCGGAUUUACUGGGCGUAAAGAGCGCGUAGGCGGCUCGUUAAGUGUGAAGUGAAAUCUCCAGGGCUCAACCCGGAAACUGCUUCGCAUACUGGCGAGCUUGAGGAAUGCAGAGGUAAGUAGAAUUCCUGGUGUAGCGGUGAAAUGCGUAGAUAUCAGGAGGAAUACCGACGGCGAAGGC
rnacentral:rRNA from 1 species